CAAACACGGGGUCCCCAGCACAGCUAACUGCUUGGUAUCUCCUCUUCUCUGUCAUUGAGGAAGUCAUGUUACAAGGGCACCCAAUGGUAAUUCCUGCUCACAUCUGUGUGCAGUGCCAACCACUCUCCUUCCUUGAGCCAGGAUAGAAGUGGAGACCUUCUGCAUGAAUGCUUAGCUUUUCUUUUUGGCUCUUCAGUUGACUCUAUCUACACUCUGCCUCCUUCUGCUUCCCAGAAUCGUAUCUUGUAAUCAGAAGAACUUCAUUGUUGAAUCAAGGAUUCAGUGAUUUGUGAGGCUGUUGGACUAAAGUAAAACCUACCUCAGUGAUUUCCCACACGGACAGCUAACAACGUGGCAGCUGACUUUCAUUACAGACCUGAUGUAGAAAUUACAGAAAAGGGAAUGUGAAUCUGGAAGCCACAAAAGGCUUCUGGAUUCUUGAAUCUUCUGUGAACAAACGAAGAGUAAAUCAGAGAAGAACUGCUGCCUUGAACACAUAGGUAGAUGUGGCUUCUUGCUGGGAAGUUCUACCAACAGCCACUCACAUCCCCAGUGGCAUCUAAGCCUCUUGCCUUCACCGCCUGAGCUCACUUUCUUGGAUGGUGAUGGAUUUCUGGAAAAUUCAAAUAGACGUGUAGCUUCGCUCUGCGUCCACAGCGGACACCUGAGGCUGGGACCCUCUGAGGUGUCGGGACUGCUUUCCCAAUGACGGGGCCAGUGAUCGAAACGGGACUUGAAAAGGGAAACAAAGAACAACUAUAAAAUGUCCCCGUCUCAUGGCCCUGCCCCAUCCUCAGGGAAAUGAGCAUAUGGAAGGCUGCGGGACAUCCUAGCAAAAGACACAAAAGGCUCCUGACUCUUGGAAGCAGCGCUGCCCCUCACUCCCCCCAUGACAGGGAGAGCGCCUCCCGCCAGCACCCCGAUGUUUCCUGGACUAUUCAAAGGCAGCAGUGCAGGCUCCUGGACUGGAGAAGCCUGACCAGCAGUGUGCCCAGGCAAUGACUGGGGGAGCCCAGACACUGGUUUUUCGGAGGACAGCCUCGAGUCCCUGCUGUCUCCUGUUUCACCACUGACUUUUAGCGAGGCUCGGAAGAUAUAAUUUACAGCCCCCAGAAGUCCAGCCGAGCGCAAUUGGACCAUGUCCAGCUUUGCCGGAAUCAGAGAGGGUACGACGGGUUAGCCCGAGAUGAGGACAAGGCGGCAGGGCCCCAGGCUCGCGUGAUGGCCCAC